GGGGGUAGAGCACUGGAUGGGCUAGGGGUCCUCACCGGAUUACCAAACCUAACCAAACUCCGAAUACCUGGGAGUACUAGUCGGCAGACACACGGCGGGUGCUAACGUCCGUCGUGAAAAGGGAAACAACCCUGACCUACAGCUAAGGUCCCCAAGUUAUGGCUAAGUGGGAAAGGAUGUGAGGAUCCCAAAACAACCAGGAUGUUGGCUUAGAAGCAGCCAUCAUUUAAAGAAAGCGUAACAGCUCACUGGUCUAAAUAAGGGUCUUUGCGCCGAAAAUGUAACGGGGCUCAAGCCAUACACCGAAGCUUAGGGUUCGUGAGCAAUCACGAGCGGUAGCGGAGCGUUCUGUAAGCUGAUGAAGCCAUACCCGUGAGGGGUGGUGGAGGUAUCAGAAGUGCGAAUGCUGACAUGAGUAACGUAAGGGGAGUGAGAGACUCCCCCGCCGAAAGUCCAAGGGUUCCUGCUUAAAGCUAAUCUGAGCAGGGUUAGCCGGCCCCUAAGUCGAGGCAGAAAUGCGUAGACGAUGGGAACCACGUUAAUAUUCGUGGGCCUGGAGGAAGUGACGGAUCAUUGAGGUAGUCCAAUCUUAUCGGAUUGAACGGGCUGCUGCGUGGUUCCAGGAAAUAGCUCCUCCUUAUAGACCGUACCCGAAACCGACACUGGUGGACUGGUAGAGUAUACCAAGGCGCUUGAGAGAACUAUGCUGAAGGAACUCGGCAAAUUGCACGCGUAACUUCGGAAGAAGCGUGACCCUUUUCCACGCAAGUGGAGGAGGGUGGCACAGACCAGGGGGUAGCGACUGUUUAUCAAAAACACAGGGCUCUGCGAAGUCGCAAGACGACGUAUAGGGUCUGACGCCUGCCCGGUGCUGGAAGGUUAAGAGGAGGGGUGCAAGCUCUGAAUCGAAGCCCCAGUAAACGGCGGCCGUAACUAUAACGGUCCUAAGGUAGCGAAAUUCCUUGUCGGGUAAGUUCCGACCUGCACGAAUGGCGUAACGACUUCCCCGCUGUCUCCAGCAUAGACUCAGUGAAAUUGAAUUCCCCGUGAAGAUGCGGGGUUCCUGCGGUUAGACGGAAAGACCCCGUGCACCUUUACUAUAGCUUUACAUUGGCAUUCGUAGUGGCAUGUGUAGGAUAGGUGGUAGGCUUUGAAACCUGGGCGCCAGCUCAGGUGGAGCCACCCUUGAAAUACCACCCUUAUCACUAUGGAUGUCUAACCGCGGCCCGUCAUCCGGGUCCGGGACAAUGUAUGGUGGGUAGUUUGACUGGGGCGGUCGCCUCCUAAAGAGUAACGGAGGCGCGCGAUGGUGGGCUCAGAACGGUCGGAAAUCGUUCGCUGAGUGCAAUGGCAUAAGCCUGCCUGACUGCGAGACUGACAAGUCGAGCAGAGACGAAAGUCGGUCAUAGUGAUCCGGUGGUCCCGCGUGGAAGGGCCAUCGCUCAACGGAUAAAAGGUACGCCGGGGAUAACAGGCUGAUGACCCCCAAGAGUCCAUAUCGACGGGGUUGUUUGGCACCUCGAUGUCGACUCAUCGCAUCCUGGGGCUGGAGCAGGUCCCAAGGGUAUGGCUGUUCGCCAUUUAAAGCGGUACGUGAGUUGGGUUCAGAACGUCGUGAGACAGUUCGGUCCCUAUCUGCCGUGGGUGUAGGAAUAUUGAAAGGAUCUGUCCCUAGUACGAGAGGACCGGGAUGGACGGAUCUCUGGUGGACCUGUUGUGGCGCCAGCCGCAUAGCAGGGUAGCUAUAUCCGGACGGGAUAACCGCUGAAGGCAUCUAAGCGGGAAACCCACCUUAAAACGAGUAUUCCCUGAGAACCGUGGAAGACGACCACGUUGAUAGGCCGGGUGUGGAAGAGCGGCAACGCUUGAAGCUUACCGGUACUAAU
rnacentral:rRNA from 1 species